GCCGAGGUGGCGGAAUUGGCAGACGCGCACGUUUGAGGGGCGUGUGGGGUAACCCGUGGGGGUUCGACUCCCCCCCUCGGCACGA
rnacentral:tRNA from 1 species